rnacentral:rRNA from 1 species
AUUGAACGCUGGCGGCAGGCCUAAUACAUGCAAGUCGAACGGUGUCUUCGGACAUAGUGGCGCACGGGUGCGUAACACGUAUGCAACCUACCUUACAUUGGGGGAUAGCCUUUCGAAAGGGAGAUUAAUACCGCAUAAGACAGUAGCUGGGCAUCCAGCAGCUGUUAAAGAUUUAUCGAUGUAAGCUGGGCAUGCGUCCAAUUAGCUAGUUGGUGAGGUAACGGCUCACCAAGGCAAUGAUUGGUAGGGGAACUGAGAGGUCAAUCCCCCACACUGGCACUGGGAACCGGGCCAGACUCCUACGGGAGGCAGCAGUAGGGAAUAUUGGGCAAUGGACGCAAGUCUGACCCAGCCAUGCCGCGUGCAGGAUGAAGGCGUUAUGCGUUGUAAACUGCUUUUAUACAGGAAGAAACGACUCUUGCGAGAGGCAUUGACGGUACUGUAUGAAUAAGCACCGGCUAACUCCGUGCCAGCAGCCGCCGUAAUAC